rnacentral:rRNA from 1 species
GACGAAGGGGGGCUAGCGUUGUUCGGAAUUACUGGGCGUAAAGCGCGUGUAGGCGGUUGUCCAAGUUGGAUGUGAAAGCCUUGAGCUCAACUCAAGAAAUGCAUUCAGGACUGGAUGACUAGAGGACCGGAGAGGAUAGUGGAAUUCCCAGUGUAGUGGUGAAAUACGUAGAGAUUUGGGAAGAACACCAGUGGCGAAGGCGGCUAUCUGGACGGUUUCUGACGUAAGACGC